rnacentral:snRNA from 1 species
GUCACUUCUUGGCAUUUUGGCUAAGAUCAAGUGUAGUAACUGUUAUCAGCAGAAGUGGGGGGUCCUGCUGACAGACAGAACAACCUUGAUGCUUUGGCCAGGGGGCUGGACACUAUGGUGCCCAACCAUUUUUGUGCCCUAGGCUUUGUACCCCUGGGAGCCUUAGGGUGAACACA